UAUGUUUUGAAUUGAAACUAUUGAUGGACGGAAUGGGAGGUGUGAUAAUGAAGGAUAAGGAUUGAAUAUGUUUAAUGUAUGAUGAUGAAUGAGAUGCAAUUGAGAAUGAUGUGGAUGUUGAGGAAUUAUAAUUGAAUUAUUUAUAUGGCUUAUGAAUUUGAAUAAUCUGAGAUACGAGAUUCCUUGGAUUAAGUGUCGUGGCUUGCCACCACGUGUAUCAGGUUGAAAACUCGAUACUCUGUUGACC
rnacentral:lncRNA from 1 species